rnacentral:rRNA from 1 species
UUUUUUAACUUUAGUGGCGGACGGGUGAGUAACGCGUGAGAAUUUGCCUUUAGGAGGGGAACAACAGUUAGAAAUGAUUGCUAAUGCCCCAUAUGCUUUAUAAAGUGAAAUGGAGUUUAUCCGCCUGAAGAGAAGCUCGCGUCUGAUUAGCUAGUUGGUAAGGUAAUGGCUUACCAAGGCGACGAUCAGUAACUGGUUUGAGAGGAUGAUCAGUCACACUGGAACUGAGACACGGUCCAGACUCCUACGGGAGGCAGCAGUGGGGAAUUUUCUGCAAUGGGCGAAAGCCUGACAGAGCAAUACCGCGUGAGGGAUGAAGGCUCGUGGGUCGUAAACCUCUUUUUUCAAGGAGGAAUCAAUGACGUGUACUUGAAGAAUAAGCAUCGGCUAACUCCGUGCCAGCAGCCGCGGUAAGACGGAGGAUGCAAGUGUUAUCCGGAAUCACUGGGCGUAAAGCGUCUGUAGGUGGUUUAAUAAGUCUAUUGUUAAAUCUUGAGGCUUAACUUCAAAUCA